rnacentral:rRNA from 1 species
UACGGAGGAUGCGAGCGUUAUCCGGAUUUAUUGGGUUUAAAGGGUGCGCAGGCGGCACGGCAAGCCGGCGGUCAAAUCGCGGGGCUCAACCCCGCCCAGCCGUCGGAACUGCCGGGCUAGAGUGGGCGAGAAGUGCGCGGAAUGCGUGGUGUAGCGGUGAAAUGCAUAGAUAUCACGCAGAACUCGGAUUGCGAAGGCAGCGCACCGGCGCCCUACUGACGCUCAGGCACGAAAGCGUGGGUAUCGAACAGG